GGCGGCGCGCUUAACACAUGCAAGUCGAACGAGAAAGCCGGAGCAAUCUGGUGAGUAAAGUGGCGUACGGGUGAGUAACACGUGGAUUAUCUACCUCUUUGUGGGGGAUAACUCUGGGAAACCGGAGCUAAUACCGCAUAAGCUCGAGAGAGGAAAGCAGAAAUGCGCAGAGAGAGGAGUCCGCGGCCGAUUAGCUAGUUGGCGGGGUAAUGGCCCACCAAGGCGAUGAUCGGUAGCCGGCCUGAGAGGGCACACGGCCACACUGGCACUGAAACACGGGCCAGACUCCUACGGGAGGCAGCAGUGGGGAAUCUUGCACAAUGGGGGCAACCCUGAUGCAGCGACGCCGCGUGAGCGAUGAAGCCCUUCGGGGUGUAAAGCUCUUUCGGCAGGGACGAUAAUGACGGUACCUGAAGAAGAAGCUGCGGCUAACUACGUGCCAGCAGCCGCGGUAAUACGUAGGCAGCAAGCGUUGUUCGGAAUUACUGGGCGUAAAGAGUGUGUAGGCGGUUUUCCAAGUU
rnacentral:rRNA from 1 species